UACGGAGGGUGCAAGCGUUAUCCGGAUUUACUGGGCUUAAAGGGUGCGUAGGUGGGUCUGUAAGUCAGUGGUGAAAUCUCCGGGCUUAACUCGGAAACUGCCAUUGAUACUAUAGGUCUUGAAUCAUCUGGAGGUGAGCGGAAUAUGUCAUGUAGCGGUGAAAUGCUUAGAUAUGACAUAGAACACCGAUUGCGAAGGCAGCUCACUACGGAUGUAUUGACACUGAGGCACGAAAGCGUGGGGAUCAAACAGG
rnacentral:rRNA from 1 species